rnacentral:rRNA from 1 species
AUAAACGCUGGCGGCGUGCAUGAGACAUGCAAGUCGAACGGACGAUCGGGGCUUGCUCCGAUCGUUAGUGGCGGACGGCUGAGUAACGCGUAGGUGACCUGCCCCGAAGUGGGGAAUAACUGCCCGAAAGGGUGGCUAAUACCGCAUGUGGUGGUGCGUUCAUUCGUACCAGUAAAGCCGCAAGGCGCUUCGGGAGGGGCCUGCGUCCGAUUAGCUCGUUGGUGGGGUAACGGCUCACCAAGGCGACGAUCGGUAGGGGGUCUGAGAGGACGAUCACCCAGACUGGGACUGAGACACGGCCCAGACUCCUACGGGAGGCAGCAGUCGGGAAUUUUGCGCAAUGGACGAAAGUCUGACGCAGCAACGCCGCGUGAGGGAUGACGGCCUUCGGGUUGUAAACCUCUUUUAUCAGGGAAGAUAAGGACGGUACCUGGUGAAUAAGUCACGGCUAACUACGU